rnacentral:rRNA from 1 species
UGGGGAAUAUUGGACAAUGGGCGAAAGCCUGAUCCAGCAAUGCCGCGUGAGUGAUGAAGGCCUUAGGGUUGUAAAGCUCUUUUUACCAGGGAUGAUAAUGACAGUACCUGGAGAAUAAGCUCCGGCUAACUCCGUGCCAGCAGCCGCGGUAAUACGGAGGGAGCUAGCGUUGUUCGGAAUUACUGGGCGUAAAGCGUACGUAGGCGGUGACUCAAGUCAGAGGUGAAAGCCUGGAGCUCAACUCCAGAACUGCCUUUGAAACUAGGUCGCUAGAAUCACGGAGAGGUGAGUGGAAUUCCGAGUGUAGAGGUGAAAUUCGUAGAUAUUCGGAAGAACACCAGUGGCGAAGGCGGCUCACUGGACGUGUAUUGACGCUGAGGUACGAAAGCGUGGGGAGCAAACAGGAUUAGAUACCCCUGUAGUCCCUGAGCGGGCUGGCAAGGCGCAU